ensembl:lncRNA
UGGAAGAUGCCUCCAGCCAGAAGGAGAAAAUAGAGGUGGCAUCUGAAUCUGCAGAUGGGGUCUUUCUUUCUUUCUUUCUUUCUUUCUUUCUUUCUUUUUUCUUUUCUUUUUUUUUUUUAGUGUGAAUAUCUGGAGAUUUGUGACACGGUGGGAGACAAUGUGCAACUGGAGUCCAUUUAUAGCAUUCAAAGUUCCUCCCAAGUAGACUCUGUCUAAGGAGGGCCCCAAACACUUUCCAUGUCAGCCCCAUGUCCAGCCUCCAUUGGACAGCUGCAGAAGUUUCCCUGGGAAAGUCACCAGGCCAGGUCAUUCCUAAUGCCACUGACUCUCUGUGGCCCAUUGAGAGAAUGACCACUCGCUCAGCCUACUGGUUGUCUCUCAUCAGCCCCCCCCCCACCCCACAGUACAAUGGUAGAUACAGGGAAUGUCCACUGCACCCAUGCACUCCUUAGUGCUGAGGGAAUGGGGACCAUCCUGAGGUGCUCUGUGGUGUUAACGUGCUUUAGGAGGGUGUGAGAAUUCCACCAAAGGGGACUCUUUCACUGAAACUAGCAACUGGCUUCUGGCAAUCUUGUCCUUUUCUGUCCCCCUGGGGAAGGGGGGUGAGUGUUGGAGAGGGGCGGCGAGCCCUGUGCUCCACAGUGAGACUUCUGGCCUUCUACUGACAGCCUCCUUGUCUCCUGUCUUGCUGUCCAGUUUCUCUACAUCCUGCUGGGUCUGCCCUAUCUGUGUGAAGGGUCACUGUGUCUGAAGCAGGGAGGAUCUAGAUCAGAGGUUUUUAGAGGGUGAUCCUGUCCCUAUUGGGUGAAAGAUGCUUUCAAAAUGCUAGGAAGGUUUGGUGUGACUGGGUUGGAACUGAAAGAAUUUGUGUUAAGCCCUCAUCUUUUCCUCUCCUCCUGUCCCCUCCUCUGCAUUCACACCUCAGGGUGGGUGGAGAUCCACCCCCACUGGAAGGGCCAGAUGUCAUCGUGCCUGUCCUCAAGGAUGAUGGAUCCUACCUGCUCUGUGCAUAUUGGGCAGAUGAGCCUGAAGCCCCAGUCCAGGCCUGGGCUGGGGCCCUGCACCCUACAGCCCAGCAGCCCACCUGCUGUGCUGAGGCCAUUCUCGUGGAAGAGCCCUCAUCACAAGAGGAGGAAGGGAAAGUGGCACGUGCAGACCAGGCCGAGGCUAAUCAGAGGGUGUGUGGAGAUCCACCCCCACUGGAAGGGCCAGAUGCCAUCGUGCCUAUCCUCAAAGAAGAUGGAUCCUACCUGCUCUGUGGAUACUGGGCAGAUGAGCCUGAAGCACCAGCCCAGGUCUGGGCUGAGGCCUUGCAUGCAAAAACUCAGCAGCCCAUCUGCUGUGCUGAGGCUUUUUGGCUGCUAAGAACUUCCUCUGGUGGAUACCAUGAAACCUGACUCUGUUCAUUCCAGGACCCCAUUUAUAUUAAAGUUUGGUUUUGUUAAUUAUUUGGGUUGAAUAUUUUGCUCCAUAAUCUUUAAACCUCACAAAUACAUGGAUUAGUAUAACACUGGAACCUGGAAUUCUAGGUGUCUUCUGAUAACUGUAGUCAAGAUUGCUCCUAUGCCACAGGACAUGUCUACAUGCAUCAAGUCUAGUGAAAAAAGCCAGACAUAGUCCAGUACAUGUGAGUACAGGUUAAAGCAGACCUGGUUCUAAGGUGAAUGCAAGAAUGCAUAUACUCAAGAUGAGCAUGAGAAUCUCUCAAGACAGUGAGGGUGAGGGAGUGUCAUUAUGUGGGACUCUUCUGGAAUCUUAGUGGGGAUAUUCACUUUCAACAACAUGUGAAUGUGUCCCCUUGAAUUUCAUGGGUCUUUCUCCAUACUGGUUUACAAAACAAAGGAAAAUGAUCGGGCCGGCACCAUGGCUCAAUAGGCUAAUCCUCCACCUAGCAGCACCGGCACACUGGGUUCUAGUCCCGGUUGGGGCACCAGAUUCUGUCCCAGUUGCUCCUCUUCCAGGCCAGCUCUCUGCUGUGGCCAGGGAGUGCAGUAGAGGAUGGCCCAAGUG